rnacentral:tRNA from 1 species
GUCCAGGGUAUCCUAGUGGUCAUGGCAUCUGCCCAGUAAGCGGAAGGUCGUGGGUUCGAUUUCCAUCCCUUGACA